UUAAGUUUUGUGACCAUUGUGGGGUUUUCCUUUUUUCAAUGGAAGGGUACGAGUGCAUUUACAGUACUUUUAUUUUCCUUGAGGUUUUAUGCCAUCUAAUGUGUCAGAGCAAACUUGUCUACUUGUCAAGUUUCACCAUCAGCACUUUGAAGUUUACAAUCAGUGAGGUCUGUUCUAUCACUGCUAUUGGCAGGCAUUUACAGUGCAUCAAAGUGUGCUGCAUCCAUGCAGCGUCCGCUGGCAGCGAGGUGAACAGGAGAGCCGGGCAGCAGGGAGAGCUGGGUCUGAGGAGACCUACUCUGGCUGGGCUCGGGCAGAUGUUGGAUUAGCCUCCACCUCUUCCACCGUCUCCAGAUCUCGUGCUGCACCUGCAAGAGCAUCCCCUUAAAAUGCUGAUGUAAAAUAUGGCCUCAUUAGGAGUGCAGUGGUUCACAAAGCUACACAAACAGCAUACAUGGGUCAGAUGUGAAUGUGAAUGAUUAGUCUGAUUUACCUGAUCCUAUCUAAUCCUUUCACGAUAUGGAGUGAAAAUUCACGUAUUAUAUCAGCACACAGCUGUUUGUUUGAAUAAAAAUAGCAGUAAAUAAAGAAAAGCUCAUUCUAAUAAAGCCUCAUAUCAGUCGGCUCGGAUUUAAAACAGCUUCCAUGUUACACUGAAGUGUGUGUGAUCAAAGAAAAUUAAAGGAAAUACAAUGCUUGUCCAUAUUACACAGUUUUUACCUCUCCGUUCAUGAAUGCGUAGAGGAGAGCGACCACAAACCCCUCAGAAAAAAAAAAAAAAGUACAUUAGGU